UCAAGAUAAAAUGAGUAAAUUUAUGUCCAAAGAACAUCGGAGACGGUGAAGGCGUAGAAUAGAAGUCCGGUGAGCAGAAAUAGCAACUGAAGCAAAACUCCUCACCGUAACAACUUCACUGCCUCUGCUUAGAAGAAAUAAAGAAUCACUUUAGACGGGACUGACGUCACUGCUCCGGCUAUACAAAACGUAGAUAAUUUCUGCUGCUAAAGAGACGAACUGUGAGUGGUGUACAAAUUUUGUUUGUUUUGGAUGUACAAAAAAAUAGUAGUGAAUAAAAAUGGAGGGGAAUGAAUGAUAGAAUAGGGCAUGGGGAGUGUUGAAUUGGGCAGACUAAAUUGGUAAGAGUACUAGAGCUGUUGGUUUGGAUAGAUUAGUGAAUGUAAAACUCUUCUUCAAAGUGAGAUUUGGAUAGCUUGAAAAUAAAUGAUAGAAUUGAAAUUAUUAAAGUACUAUGGUAUUCAAAUUGGUACUAUGGAAUGGGGAGGGUACUAUGGUAUUCAAAUUGGUAAGAGUACUAGAGCUGUUGGUUUGGAUAGAUUAGUGAAUGUAAAACUCUUCUUCAAAGUGAGAUUUGGAUUAGAUUUCAUGAUCUUAGCUUGAAAAUAUAUGAUAGAAUAGGGCAUGGGGAGUGUUGAAUUGAAAUUAUUAAAGUCUUGAUGCCCAUCUUCAAGGUACAGUGUAGGGAACUUGAAGUUUCCUGCUCCUUGUAAUUCAUUCAUCUUGUACCUGCUAUUGUGAUUCAAGGAUAUCAAUUCCACAAGCUACACUUGCUGCGGAUGAAGUGAGAGCUCUCCGUGAAAUAGCUGGACAGCUGA